UACGAAGGGGGCUAGCGUUGCUCGGAAUCACUGGGCGUAAAGGGUGCGUAGGCGGGUCUUUUAAGUCAGGGGUGAAAUCCUGGAGCUCAACUCCAGAACUGCCUUUGAUACUGAAGAUCUUGAGUUCGGGAGAGGUGAGUGGAACUGCGAGUGUAGAGGUGAAAUUCGUAGAUAUUCGCAAGAACACCAGUGGCGAAGGCGGCUCACUGGCCCGAUACUGACGCUGAGGCACGAAAGCGUGGGAGCAAACAGGA
rnacentral:rRNA from 1 species